rnacentral:rRNA from 1 species
AGUGAACGCUGGCGGUAGGCCUGACACAUGCAAGUCGAACGGCAGCACAGUAAGAGCUUGCUCUUACGGGUGGCGAGUGGCGGACGGGUGAGGAAUACAUCGGAAUCUACUUUUUCGUGGGGGAUAACGUAGGGAAACUUACGCUAAUACCGCAUACGACCUACGGGUGAAAGCAGGGGAUCUUCGGACCUUGCGCGAUUGAAUGAGCCGAUGUCGGAUUAGCUAGUUGGCGGGGUAAAGGCCCACCAAGGCGACGAUCCGUAGCUGGUCUGAGAGGAUGAUCAGCCACACUGGAACUGAGACACGGUCCAGACUCCUACGGGAGGCAGCAGUGGGGAAUAUUGGACAAUGGGCGCAAGCCUGAUCCAGCCAUACCGCGUGGGUGAAGAAGGCCUUCGGGUUGUAAAGCCCUUUUGUUGGGAAAGAAAAGCAGCAGGUUAAUACCCCGCUGUUCUGACGGUACCCAAAGAGUAAGCACCGGCUAACUUCGUG